GACGGCCUUCGGGUUGUAAACUCCUUUCGUUAGGGACGAAGCCACACCUUUUUUUGGGUGUGGUGACGGUACCUUUGUUAAGAAGCACCGGCUAACUACGUGCCAGCAGCCGCGGUAAUACGUAGGGUGCGAGCGUUGUCCGGAAUUACUGGGCGUAAAGAGCUCGUAGGUGGUUUGUUGCGUCGUCUGUGAAAUUCCGGGGCUUAACUUCGGGGUGGCAGGCGAUACGGGCAUAACUAGAGUGCUGUAGGGGAAACUGGAAUUCCUGGUGUAGCGGUGGAAUGCGCAGAUAUCAGGAGGAACACCGAUGGCGAAGGCAGGUCUCUGGGCAGUAACUGACGCUGAGGAGCGAAAGCAUGGGGAGCGAACAGGAUUAGAUACCCUGGUAGUCCAUGCUGUAAACGGUGGGCGUUAGGUGUGGGGACCGGUUUGGUUUCUGUGCCGUAGCUAACGCAUUAAGCGCCCCGCCUGGGGAGUACGGCCGCAAGGCUAAAACUCAAAGGAAUUGACGGGGGCCCGCACAAG
rnacentral:rRNA from 1 species